CGUUUAGAUAACGCGUUCGUAGAUGGGCGAAGCGCAAACGGUACCGUUCUUUUAUGCCGUAGAUAUGCCUUAUGUCCAUUUCCUGUUAUGUAAGUAUCCCAUCCCUAUUAGGAAACAAUUAUUUCACAUAUCGUGUUGAUUUCACAUGAGUCUAGGAAUAUUCUACUUAUAUUAUUUUUCGCAAGAAUGCUGUUACUGUCCCACGGGCUAUUUGAAGUUUUUUUUUACUUUUUCCAGAACUCUCUUCAUCUUAUUUUGGUUCGUUUCACUUCGAUUCGUUUAUUGAGAUUCUUCUUCUAUCCCCCUAUCUGUUAAGAUAUUGGACACAUUGUGACUUCCAAAUUUAAUUCGAAAAUAAGCGUUAUUAUUUUCUAUUCAAAUAUUGUCAUGCUGCGAAUAUUGCAGUUCACUGCAAUCCUUAAUUUUCAAGUAAAGACUCAUAUCUGAGUGAAAUUUUCGCGUUCAUAUAUCAAAAAACAGAUUAUGAGCAUAUGUAUGAUUUAAAAAUUUAAUUACAAUUGGAAGAUUUUGAUCUGAAGAAAUUACUAUAUACAAUAACUUAAUAAGAGAAGGAACAAUUUAAGAGGAUGCUAUGGUGAAAUCAUAUAUCUUAAAUCUUAUCUUAAUUUUUCAAAGAGUUUAAAUAUGAUUCCUAAUAGGAUAAGUGCUCGUGUUUCUGAUGCCAUUCAGACUUUCUCCUUAAAAAAAAGACUUUGUGGGGUUUUAUGGACGUUUUAAUAUAAUUUGACGAUGCGCUGGCUCCAUUAGUUAAUAAUAAUGGGUGCAUUUCUGGUAACGGGUUUUAUUAUUUAUGUUAAAUUGGCUAUAAAACUUCUAUAAGGAUUGCUGUUAUUUUAAUAAAAAUUUACGUUGUAGAAUUAUUAAGAGUAAAACAGGUGACACUCAUUGAAGAGUAUAGAACAAUUAAUAUUGUGAGGACCCUUAAAACUUCCACAAAUCGAGGUGCAGGAGCUGCUUAGCAAAAGCGAAGAAGGCUGGAAUGCAGGAGUCUGCUACUAGUUAAAACGGGAAAUAAUGGACUUCUCGGCUACGCGGAGAGACCGGGAACUAACGGUACCGCGGUGGACCUUGAACUCAAGGCGGCAAAGGGCGCAGUGGUCGAACGGUAACGGUGUGGACUUUGGACAUGCACAACGAGGACGCACCGUAAACUAACUAGGCAUUCGUAGACUUUGAACCCGAGCACAGAAAAGGGAAAACAACGGGAUCGCUCCGGCGGAAAGGACGACGCAUGCGCAGCUCUGGAACGACCUAACGGACGACACACUUUUCGGCCGGCCACCAUAACAUAUUAGAUCUCCUUUAAGCUCUGGUUCGACCUAGCGGACGAUACACCUUGAGGUCCGCCUUUCUUGGUCCACAUAAAAUAGCCGAUAUCUUACAGAAAUGGGGAGUAAGGUUUGAUGCAACAGUUGAGAGUUUAUCGAGUAAAGGGAUAUUGACGGUUGAACAUUUCGAUGGUGAUCAGCAGAAACAUUCAUCAUCUUUUAAUUGGCAAAGCCAGCAGUUGGUUCUGGAGAUCCCAUAAAAGGGUUCCAACGUUCAAUUGGGGAGAGUAUUUUGCUGCUUUUCGAGAAGAGAGUAGAACGAGCAAAAGCCAGGAAAAUCCUUCGAUGUUUGUAAGCUUAUGGAUACACUGUCAGUGAGUUUUGCCGAAGACGAGUUAGUAGAGAUUAUCCAUGGAAAUUUACUAAUCGGCAUGAAAGAAAGACUGUAGUUUGAAUGGAAUUAUUUUAUUUAUCCCGGGGGGUUCCGUAGGCUGAUUCAUAAGCGAGAGAAUAUUCUUAGGGAAACAGUCCGACUGCGGCCACCCCAAACUAAACCAACUACAAGAAAAGUGAAUUUGAUAAUGAAAUUGCAGCAAUUCAACGCACAACUCCUCUGUUGAGCUGGAAUUGUAGUACUCCAAGCUACAUAUGGGACAAUUUCUAGGCUUAGAUACGAAUUUUUUGUUAUGGUUGCGGAGCCCCGCAAAUAUAUUAACCCAAUUGCCAGAACUGCAAGCGAAAUGCUGAAAAACGGUAAGGAGGGGCACCCAAUCCAGGAAGGGUGCCAAAAGUAAAAGAUAGCGCUAGAAUAACUGUUGAAAGGCUUACAAUUCAAACAAAAAAGUUAGAUCAAGAGUCAAAUUCUAAAGAUAACAUACCUUUUAAACUAUAGAAACUAUUAUUUAGUGCGUGAACUAAUUUUCGGGCUCUAGAAAGAGAGUGUACGAUAUACCCACAGAAUGCGAAAUUAUUAUCGUUAAUUAAAAAAGAAAAGAACUAGGAUUGUGUGAACUGUUUUUCAAAACAAUAUUGAUAGUCGUAGUUAAAGUAGUGUAAAAUUUGUUUGGGAGCAAACCUAAGUGGUAUCGGGUCGUCAUUAGCGCUUGAAGACUUUUUAGAGACUUUGUUGUCCCAAGUCCGAGCCGCUGACGCCAAGUCUCACAAAGUUCCUGAAAGUCUAAGCGUAAAAAUAAAAUAUCAAGAUAAGGAGAUCCUUUCUAUAGCUCAGAGAUUAAUAUUAGGUAUAGAUUUCUGGCGUUUUUAGAUUAGCUCCAGGGAUCAUUGGCUCUAUCCUGAAUGAGAACAUAGAAAUAUAAGAAAGAGAGGAAAAAUUAUUUCCAAAUUUUGAAAAACAAGGAUUAGGUGGCACUGCCUUAAUUAAGCAUUGUAUUGACGUAGGUGAAAACGGGGCUGUAAAACAGCGUUAUUAUCCUGUGAGCCCUGCAGUAGAAAAAAUUAUGUACAUGGAAAUUAAUCGCAUGCUUAGUAUCAGAGUGAUCAAACAUAUGCAAAGUUCGAGUUGUGGUAAAGCCAAACAAAGUACGUUUAUGUGUGGAUGCACGGAAACUAAACGAGGCUACAAAAAAAGAUUUCUAUCCGCUGCGAAGCAUCGAAAGCGUAUUUGAUAGUCUGCCAAAGGCAUAUAUAAUUUCGAAAUUAAAUCUCAAAGAUGUUUAAUGGCAAAUUGAGUUGACAGAGGAAGCGAAACCAUUGACCGCUUUUACAUUCCAGUCGAGCAUUAUAUCACUUUACGGUCCUGCCUUUUGGUUUAUGUAAUGAUCCCUCGACGAUGUCUCAUCUAAUAGAUGACCUAAUUUCCUCGGAUUUACGUCAUUGAGUUUUCAUAUAUCUCGACGACCUAUGCAUUGUCUCAGAAGAUUUUGCGUCUAUGAUCAUCAUCUGUGAUCAAUUCAAGAAAGCAAACCUUACACUGAACAAAAAGAAAAGUCACUUUUUUACUAAGGUGAUAGAAAAUGGUGGAAUUGCCAUUGAUCCAAAAAAAAACUCAUGUGUAAUAAACUGGCUCACACCCAAAAACUUCAAACAAGUGAGAGGUUUCCUCGGUGUAUUUGCUUGGUACUGGCGAUUUGGACUUUGCAGACCUGUUCUAUUACAGAAGUCUUAAAAACCAAAAACGUUUUAAAUGAUCUCCGGAAGCCCAGGACACAAUGCUAAAACUAAAACAGUUGCUAACGUCAGCACCGGUGUUACAAAAUACGGACUUUUCUUGUUAAUUUUUUUUAGUGAUUAUUGCAUAGGCGCUGCGCUGGUACAAGUAUCUAAUACAAGAGAGAGAGAGAGAGAGAGAGAAAAUGUGAGAUUUCAUUAUUACUUAUCAACAUUUCCGAUGACCGUAGGAAAGUUGCGAUAAAAUCCGGCAAUCAGAAUAGGAUUCAUGAAAACGCACAAUUUCCAAAUUUAGUAGCCGAGGCUUCCUAGUUCGAUAAGAAAGGUCCGAAAGAAAUAAAUAAAAUAAAACGUCCGAACGCGUCAAAGGCACGAAACACCCAUUACUUUAACGGCAAAAUUGUAGAGGUAACAAGCGUCGCCGAGAUGCAAUGGAACCGUUUACAUUGUUGUUUUUGUUGUUGCUACCGCAUAAGAACAGCGCAACUGGUAAACGAUGGCGGUGGCUAUAUGUACAUAUACAUAUAUGUAUGUGUAAUAUGCACUUUUGUUAAUAAUGUUUUGCAAAACACAGUUUUGCUUUUUUAAAGCGCGAAAUGUACGAAAAAUUAACUACAGAUGCCUCAGCGUACGCCAUUGGAUCUGUAAUUCCGAAGAAGAACGUCUGAUUACAAUGAUCUUAAGGUCAUUGAACGUCAGGGGAUUAGUUACGGCAUAAAUAAACGGGAACCAUUAGCAAUAGAUUAGGCAAAUUGCACAAACUACAGGACUAUCAAUACGCGGUUAAAGACAUAAACAUUUUUACCGACCAAAAGCCUCUGACCUUUGCUGUUUGGGAAUCCAACCCAAACGCAAUAAUAGAGAUGAAAAGGGCGCAUCGAUCAAAUCGAAGGUGGAAUCCUGUGUGGCUACAAGCCACAGCGAAUAAGCGCUCACCCAUGCACACCUUUAAAUUGCUUUUAAAAUCAGAUACAAUUAGGAGACGCGCAAUCCCAGCGGGAGCGUACCUUUAUAUUGUUUGGAAAUAAAGAAUUUAAUCGGCCUCGCAGACAGAGAAGCGUUGCUGAAAGAGCUCGCAGACAUAAUCAUUCCAAAGGCCGGCUUCAAAAAUCUGGCAUGACGGCACAAGAAAACAUUAAACAGGUACUCUCCGAAUACUACUUUCCGAAAUGACGAAAUAAUUACAAAUUGAAGGACGCGCGAAAGUCGAAUAUGACAGACGUACGCUCAAGAACUAUCGACUACCGGCCCUCUUGAAGAUCAUGAAUGUCUGUCCAAAUGACAAAGUAAUCUAAGGCUGACGGCAUAAUGCGCGCGAGAAGCGAAGCGAUGCGAUAAUAUUGGGCGAGAACGAGCGAUAAAGCUCUGCAAGCAUUUUUAAGUGAAAUCGCUCGAAAGAUGUCAGAGUGAGAGCGAGGCGAGUUGCGAGCUCAAGCGAUAAAGCGAGAGCAAAGCGAGAAAGCAGUUUGCAACCUGCUUUAUCGCUUCAACUCGCUCAGAGCGUACGAUUGUUGUUGCUUGAAAAAAAACAAAUGGGAAAAAAGAGAAAGAGAAAGGCGACGACGAGGCAUUUUUUGACAGCUUACUACCAUACAUGCGGAAAAUGGAUCCGAAAUAAAAAUUAUUUUGCCGAAUAGAAAUUCAAAAAACAAUUUUUAAUUUUUCUUUUGACGGAAUUUCCGAUACCGACAAACUAUAAUACACAAUAAAUAUAUUAAAAACUUACCUCAAUGUUAUUAUUAAUUUUUGACAAGGCAGUAUAGGGUGUAUAACAAAAUUUGGCCAAUUCUUCAUCAAACGACUACUAAUUUUAUUUAAUAUAUAAUCAAAAGUCGAAGUAGACAUACGCGUAUAGUUAAAGAACCGAUUUGGGUAGUUUCGUAAAUCACUGUAUAAAUUGUUGAAUUCACCUUUUUCAUUUCUGUUGGUGUUAAGGGGGUGGACGCCAGUUUUUUUUUUUUUUUAGAAAGUUUUAGCGCAACUAGCUUGAUGCGAAAAAUUCUUUGUCCGAAUCCAUGGGGUUCACAUUUAUAACUAAAAGAGAGCAAUGUAGCACGCUUCUCGCCUCGCUCUUACUCUGUCAUCUUCUCGCUUUGCUCAUAGCUUCUCGCUUCGCAUCUCGCGCGCACUCUGCCGUCAGCCUAAAGUGAUAAUGAACCAUUGUUUAAAUAGCAUUAAGCAUUUUAAUCCGUAGAGAUGAUCCUGCUAGCCAUGUAGCGGAUGUAGUGCAAGAAAGCGUCAACAACCCACAGGUGGAAACAUAACUCUGAACGCUUAAAAUGCACUAAAGGUCAAGAAAAACCCCUCCCGUCAGAAGAAUCUUUGAAGUGGGCAAAAAGGUGUUAGUAAAGUCCAACAGAAGGCUUGGCAAUAAACCACGGUCCUAGUUUGUCCACAAAGACAACAUAAAACAAGAGAGAACGCUAUAGUCGAGUUUCCCGACUAUCUGAUUACCGAAGGAAGCUCUUCAGCACUGACAGUUUUUGGCGGUUUGUGGGCGUUAGAGUGGGCGUAGCAACAUGAAUCGAUAAACUUUCUCUCCGUUUAUGUCUCAGGGGUCUGUAUGCUUAAUCUUUUUAGCUUUUAAAGUUCCUGAGAUCUCAGCGCUCAUACGAACGGACAUACGGACAUGGCCAGAUCGACUAGGCUAUUGAUCCUGAUCAAGAAUAUAAAUCAAGAAUAUGUCGGAAACGCUUCCUUCUGCCUGUUACAUACUUUUCAACGAAUCUAGUAUACCCUUUUACUCUACGAGUAACGGGUAUAAUUAGCACGUCAGAAAUUCACAAUCUUCCCCGUAGCACAUCGUUAUGUAAUUUUGCGGCUUACAAGUAUUAUAGUAACAGAGUGUAAUGGAGAAAUCCAUUCAAUUAAGGACUGUUCAAUGACACCAAGAGUCACUUUCUGUGAGUUGGCAGUGGAGAGCUCAAGGGAGCAGGUUGUGUAGCGCACUGAAUGAUCCAAUCGAGUGAUCUUUCCUCAUUGACCCAUGUCGAUGAGGGAAUUAUUAUCAUCAUCAACCCGAACCCAGCAACGGCCAAAUCGCUGAUACAGCAUUUGACCGGAUACUCGUUCAUAGCGGGCAAACACAGAACUUUUGCGUGACCGCUUAUGUGAGCUUAAAGCAAGAAUAUUAUGUUCAGUUCGUUUUGAAGUUUCAUACAAUAAAGAGCACAAGCUCUACUAAAAAAUAACUCCGGCUAUGCCGUUAACAUUUUUUUUUUAAAUUAUAGCUUGACUGAGUCUCUAGGCCAGCAGGUUAUAAAGGGAAGUUACCCUUCCAGCAUAAUCUUCAUAAAGUCAACGACGAAAGACAACGGCCAGCCGGCCAACUAAGAUUGCGACUAGGGUUCACACAUUCGCCCAGCCUGCAGCCCCACAGCGCAGAUCACGUCGUCUACAAUCCAAUACAGGAACUGAGUAAUGGGAAAGGUGCAGUGCUCUCACAGUGCAGCCAGUUACGGCACCGUUUAAAAGUGUAUAUAGUUUACUCUAAAUAGGGUAUUUUACUAGUGCCAUGAUAAACAGUAUAUUUUUUUUUUUUCGCCAUCGCAAUAUUUUUGGUCUCAAAAGCCACAAUUUUAAUGUUAAAUGGAUUGUAGACUACAUGAUCUGCGCUGCAAGUGUACGCUUUUCGAUUCUAAGAUGGCUUGCAUACACGCCUAAAAUUUAAAACGUCAUAUUGAGAACGCGCACAUGACGCUGGCUCCAAAGCAGAAAACGAAUAGAAAUCAAUCCUUAGCCUAUAUUAAAUGCUAUCUUUUAUUAUAAACCUAAGAAUAAAUUUAAAAUUAUUUAACUUUUCAAAAAUUAGUUUUGUAUCCCGAUUUAAGCUGAUAAAUCGUUCCAGCAUGUCGACGAACUUCUUCGUAAAACAUAACCCGAACACCGAACUGAACCAAAGAAAAAAUAAAAAGGGAGAACAACACCUACUUUAUCGGGUCGAACACACUUCCUUUUACGUGAUAACUCAUCUAGUAAAACCUUUUAUCUACCAAUCACGGCAUUCGUCAAAAGACAUGAUUUUGUAAUCGUAUCGGGUGUUUCUUUAAAAUGUUUUUUAUUUAUCGAUAGGAUUUAUUUCGGGCUUCUUUUAUGCCAGCUGACAUCUGUAGAGUGCUUUAUGUUCAGUUUGGUUUGGCAAUUCAGGAUAAAUAGGUUAACAGCUGAGCAGCGAUACCAAAUCGUUUCAUUUUAUUUCGAAAAUCAGAUGUCGUUUGUGAAAGUGCUUCAGCGAAAAAAAAGGCCCUGUAAAAUGUGCUUUUAGCCUAUGCAAACAAAACCACCACGAUUCUGGCCCUACAAGCCAACAUUGAACUAGCUAUUGCCGAUAUACGGCCCUAGAUGCUUGAAAUGGUGGUCGGAAAAUGGACUUCCAGGAUGCAAUUUAUGCAAAACUCACGUGGUGACCAUUAGCCCGAAGUUAUAUCCCAUUAUUUAUGUCAUCAAAUUCUCUUUCAAAUAAAAAAAAUCUGCUCUACCGCAACCUGUGCAUUUUUUUUAAAUUUAAAAACAUAAACCUCCUAAAAAAACAUCCCUUAGUUACAGUCAUGUGCAAAAACCUUUUUCGUCUCAAAAUCUUAAAUUUUGUGUGUUGAUAUUGCGAUUUGUACUAUUUGUCUUAAAAAAAUUGUUUGCUUUGUAGUCCCAAUCAGAAUUGAUUUUUAACGGAAGCGCGAUCAAAUGUGAAAUUGGAUUUUAAGACAUAAGUUGAUUAUUCUGAAAAUCGGUAUACAUUUUGUAUAGCUACGAUAAAUAGUUUGUUUGCUAAUUGUUACGUAUAAUAGUGAGCUGCAUUUGUAAAAUAAAUUUCAAAUAUAACUUGAAUCUAAAUAUGCAAUGGUGCAUCCUGGUAGUUAAAUAUGCAUUUCAUAAAGUAAUGCAAUUGUAAUCUGACAGUGUAUACCUGUUAUUAUACGGAACAUACCCUUUAUUCUGGGAUAAUAUUUUUGUAUAAUGGUGUAAACCUAUAGAAAUUAAUCUACAAAAAGUUGUUUUUGUCUGAAAAAUUAUUAAACAAUCGGAACGAUUAACCAGACCGCUGAUUUAUUUCGCGGAAGAAAAAAUCAAUUUUCAUUUUUUGCUUUCGAUUCAAGAAAAAAUUUAACUAUUUAACUAUAAUAACACUUAGCCCACUUCUGCAAAUAGAAAAAUAUGUACUACCACUUUCUUGUAUUAUUGUAGACAUCUUCCAGCUAAUUUGACUAUGAACAAUGUUUACUAUCUACUAUAUCCAUAAUGCACAUUUGUGUGUACAGCUUAGUUAUAACAGGAUAUUUCCACUAAUGCUGUAAAAAGCAUUUUAUAUAAUUGUUUGCAUUCCCAAUAAUUUUUGUUGUAUAUACAUGUAUGUAUGUGUACUUUAUAUCCGCCACUAUAAGAUUAUAGCAGUACCAUUCAGGGACUUCAUUAAUAUUCAUAUUCUAUUUUAUAAUGUGUGCUCAUUUUACCAGAUACCUGCAAACGUUUUGACGGUAGGCAUUCAUACGUAUGUAUAUUACAUGCAUACGGAUUUCUGAACGGUAUCAACUUUCAAUACAAACCAACGCAUUUUACAAUAAAUGGAUUUGGGUGUCUAUUUUUUUAAAUAUAUAUAAAUAUAUAUAGACUGAAAAUAUUAUUUUUACGCACUGAUUGUAUUUAUAAACAUGUUACUUAAUUAUUAAAGCCAAUUUGCAGUUACAUUGUA